ACGUAGGAGACGAGCGUUAUCCGGAUUUACUGGGCGUAAAGCGCGUGCAGGCGGUUUUUUAAGUCACUUGUGAAAGCGCCCGGCUCAACCGGGCGAGGACGUACCGAACUGCGGGACUAGAGGCAGGGAGAGGCGUGUGGAAUUCCGGGUGUAGUGGUGAAAUGCGUAGAGAUCCGGAGGAACACCAGUGGCGAAGGCGACACGCUGGGCCUGGCCUGACGCUCAGACGCGAAAGCAUGGGGAGCGAACGG
rnacentral:rRNA from 1 species